CUGGCAAAUGCUAGUGGAACUACAAUUGGUCGCGGGUUCGAACCCCGCCGCUGAUUUUGUUGGUGUAGCUCAGUUGGUAGAGCAGUUCUUUGUUUCACGCCUUGUUUGUUGCCAGAGU
rnacentral:Y_RNA from 1 species